UAGCAACACGUAAAUACUGGAG
rnacentral:miRNA from 1 species